GACGAACGCUGGCGGCGUGCCUAACACAUGCAAGUCGAGCGAGUUGAUCCCUUCGGGGUGAAGCUAGCGGCGGACGGGUGAGUAACACGUGGGCAACCUGCCUCAUAGAGGGGAAUAGCCUUCCGAAAGGGAGAUUAAUACCGCAUAAGAUUGUAGCUUCGCAUGAAGUAGCAAUUAAAGGAGCAAUCCGCUAUGAGAUGGGCCCGCGGCGCAUUAGCUAGUUGGUGAGGUAACGGCUCACCAAGGCGACGAUGCGUAGCCGACCUGAGAGGGUGAUCGGCCACAUUGGGACUGAGACACGGCCCAGACUCCUACGGGAGGCAGCAGUGGGGAAUAUUGCACAAUGGGGGAAACCCUGAUGCAGCAACGCCGCGAGAGUGAUGACGGCCUUCGGGUUGUAAAGCUCUGUCUUCGGGGACGAUAAUGACGGUACCCGAGGAGGAAGCCACGGCUAACUACGUGCCAGCCGCCGCCGUAA
rnacentral:rRNA from 1 species